GGGAUUGUGGCCCAGUGGUCAGAGCGUCGUACUCACGAAGGUCGGAGGUUCGAUUUCCGAUCCCA
rnacentral:tRNA from 1 species